rnacentral:rRNA from 1 species
CGGACGGGUGAGUAAUGUCGGGGAAACUGCCCGAUGGAGGGGGAUAACUACUGGAACGGUAGCUAAUACCGCAUAACGUCGCAAGACCAAAGAGGGGGACCUUCGGGCCUCUUGCCAUCGGAUGUGCCCAGAUGGGAUUAGCUAGUAGGUGGGGUAACGGCUCACCUAGGCGACGAUCCCUAGCUGGUCUGAGAGGAUGACCAGCCACACUGGAACUGAGACACGGUCCAG